UGGGGAAUUUUGGACAAUGGGCGAAAGCCUGAUCCAGCAAUGCCGCGUGUGUGAAGAAGGCCUUCGGGUUGUAAAGCACUUUUGUCCGGAAAGAAAUCCUUGGCUCUAAUACAGUCGGGGGAUGACGGUACCGGAAGAAUAAGCACCGGCUAACUACGUGCCAGCAGCCGCGGUAAUACGUAGGGUGCAAGCGUUAAUCGGAAUUACUGGGCGUAAAGCGUGCGCAGGCGGUUUGCUAAGACCGAUGUGAAAUCCCCGGGCUCAACCUGGGAACUGCAUUGGUGACUGGCAGGCUAGAGUAUGGCAGAGGGGGGUAGAAUUCCACGUGUAGCAGUGAAAUGCGUAGAGAUGUGGAGGAAUACCGAUGGCGAAGGCAGCCCCCUGGGCCAAUACUGACGCUCAUGCACGAAAGCGUGGGGGAGCAAACAGGAUUAGAUACCCCUGGUAGUCCACGCCCUAAACGAUGUCAACUAGUUGUUGGGGAUUCAUUUCCUUAGUAACGUAGCUAACGCGUGAAGUUGACCGCCUGGGGAGUACGGUCGCAAGAUUAAAACUCAAAUGAAUUGACGGGGUCAUAGCUGUUUCCU
rnacentral:rRNA from 1 species